AUACGGAGGGGGUUAGCGUUGUUCGGAAUUACUGGGCGUAAAGCGCACGUAGGCGGACUGGAAAGUUGGGGGUGAAAUCCCGGGGCUCAACCCCGGAACUGCCUCCAAAACUUCCAAUCUAGAGAUCGAGAGAGGUGAGUGGAAUUCCAAGUGUAGAGGGGAAAUGCGUAGAUAUUUGGAGGAACACCAGUGGCGAAGGCGGCUCACUGGCUCGAUACUGACGCUGAGGUGCGAAAGCGUGGGGAGCAAACAGGAGUAGAUACCCCGGUAGUCC
rnacentral:rRNA from 1 species